AUUGAACGCUGGCGGCAGGCUUAACACAUGCAAGUCGAGCGGAGAGAGGUAGCUUGCUACUGAUCUUAGCGGCGGACGGGUGAGUAAUGCAUAGGAAUCUGCCUAUUAGUGGGGGACAACAUUUCGAAAGGAAUGCUAAUACCGCAUACGUCCUACGGGAGAAAGCAGGGGAUCUUCGGACCUUGCGCUAAUAGAUGAGCCUAAGUCGGAUUAGCUAGUUGGUGGAGUAAAGGCCUACCAAGGCGACGAUCUGUAGCGGGUCUGAGAGGAUGAUCCGCCACACGGGGACUGAGACACGGCCCCGACUCCUACGGGAGGCAGCAGUGGGGAAUAUUGGACAAUGGGCGGAAGCCUGAUCCAGCCAUGCCGCGUGUGUGAAGAAGGCCUUAUGGUUGUAAAGCACUUUAAGCGAGGAGGAGGCUACUUUAGUUAAUACCUAGAGAUAGUGGACGUUACUCGCAGAAUAAGCACCGGCUAACUCUGUGCCAGCCGCCGCAGUAAAAC
rnacentral:rRNA from 1 species